CUCUGGGUCUCGCACGCAGCAGCUGCAGACGCUGCCCGGCGCGGUGGGGCUGUGAGCAAAACGGCCCGCCGGUGUGGUUGCCCAGACUGUGCUGGGCCCUCCUAGGUGGAUGGCCCUGCCCCAGCCUAACUUCUGUACCCCAGCAUAACCUCCAAAGUAACAGCCGUGCCCUGGGAGCCUGUUCAACACUGAACAUAUCCCACAAUAACACUGUUCCAGCGUCGCUGGUAAAAAGCAGAAAUGGCUUCGCUGGAGGCAUCGACAAAUCUAAUGCAGUAACCUCAUUUUACAGAAGAGAACUCUAAGAGGAUAACUAACUUGGCCAAGAUCACAUGAUGUUUCUGGAUGAGAUUAGCAUUCAAAUUCGUGGACUCAUUAAAGUAGAUGGCUCUCUCCAAUAUGGGUGGGCAUCAUCCAAUCUGUUGAAGGCGUGAAGAGAACAAGAGAAGGAGGAAGGAAGAAUUCACCUUUUUUCUUGCUGCCCACCUGCUUGGGCUGGGACAUUGCAUCUCACCUUCUCCAGCCUUUGGAUGAGGAUUUACACCCUGGUUCUCAGGCCUUCAGGCUCUAACUGGAGCUACACUAUCAACUUUCCUGGGCCUCCAGAUUGCAGAUGGUGGAUCACGGUACUUUUUAGCCUCCAUCAUAAUAUGAGAAAAAAGAGGCACAGUGAAGCUAAAUAUAUUGGCUAAAGAUCACAAAGCUAAGUUGAAAUUUUUCAAGAUGAAAAGUUGCUAAAGAAAGAGAAAGGGAAGCGGUUUGCUCCAGUAUUCCUCUUUCCACCUUCCCACUGACUGGGAAGCGGCGGUUAGCAGAGCCACAGUCUUGGAUUAGAGAUAAGAGGGACAUGUUGAGGAAGGUGGAGUCUCCCCCACAGCCCUGGACCAGGCUCCAGUGCCAACAAAAGCCAAGAAGAACCUCUGGAGCAAUCAGUCUCUCUGCUGAGGGAGUGCAUUUUGCUUCCAGCACAGUGCUCAACUCACACAGUUCCCAUGGAAACCCAGGGGCUACAGAGGUGUCUAGACCCUGUUUGGCACUCUAACCAGAAGUAUUCCCAGAGACUACAAGCACACUGCACACCUUGGCUCAGUUUCAAACUGGAGACAGGCAGAGAAAGAAAGAUCUUCCUCCCCUACUUUCCCGGGGAGGUCUUGAGGAGACUUCCUUUUUGUUAGUUGUUUCCAAAUUGUCCCUAUCUGAGUGGUUCUCAAACAGUGGGUCUUCGCGUGGUCAUGAAGGGCCUGCAAGAAGAUAAGGGCACCAAGCGUGGCCUGUGGCUGAGAUAAAUGAAGCAUCUCUCAUAUAUGUGUUAUGAUUUUUCAAGUAAAUGAGGUUGCUAUUGGGCUUAAUUAAAAUAAAAACUAAUUUAAGAGCAAUGCUACAUAGCUUUUUGCCAUGAUGUAUUUUUGUAACCAGUGAUUAUGAAAACUACUGCCACUCUCACGUGGGGAAUGGCGGAAUUGUUUACUGUGAAACUCUGCUCUUACAUGCAAGGCUGGGAACCCCUGCUUACUUCCAGAGGAGUAGGGCUGCGAUAUGCAGCUGAUGAUGUUCUCUUCUUUAUGUUGCUUACAG
rnacentral:lncRNA from 10 species